AAUUUUGUUUGGGUUAGUGGUUCAUUCCAAACCGCUUCAGUGAUUUACGACCCUGAGGCUAAAACAGAAGAACAUCCCUAUCUCCCUGCUAAAACUUUGCUUUCCUGAGUAGGAGGGAAGAGCAGGUCACUGGUUAGGAUGUGUGUCUGAGGCUAGGAAGGUUGUGUUUCUUACCUAGUCCAUCAUAAACUGCACAUAUGACUCCAGUCUUCACCGUGUCUCCUGUGCUGCUCAGAGAUUGUGUGCACAGCAUUCCCAACUGCUAGAUCAAGUUGCUGGGGGACCUGGGCAUGCCUCCAAAAACAAACUGCAGUCACUGCAGACCAAGGGCCUUCUGGAGCACUCCUGAGAGCAACUAUUGCUCACUUCAUCCAUCUGGAGCUGAGCUAGAAGGCUCUAGAAGCGGCUGAAUCUCCAAGUGAAAAGGCAGUUUUAUCCUGCUAAUUGCUAAGCAGAUAGUUAAAGGGCGAUGUUCCUUGAUCCCUUCUUACCAGAGAUGGUGGUGCUCUGAUUACUGCUUACUUUUUCACUGUUCAUUGGCAUUGUGCUAGGAAAUGGAAAACCAUUCAACACAGGCAGAUGCAGGGAUGGAUCCAGACCUUUUCCAAGGAAGCAUGAGACAGUAAUGGUCAGCAUGAUGAGUAGCAGAAGGAAAUGGCUGUUUUCACUUUGACUCGCUUUAAUUGCCAGCAGUUCAAUAGCUUAAAUUGCAGAAGUUUGCAUUAGAUCUGCAGCAAAACAUACGAGGCACUGCAGAAGUGGAUGCUUCUAUCAUUACAUGCUGGGGGCUGCAGCUCUAUUUCAGCCACCCUUGUGCUAAGAGAAAUCUGAGCUUCCUGAUUUCAACCCUGCUGUCCCUUCUGUGGGGUCAUAUACUCAAGAUAUUUCCAUUCUUCCCAAAAUACCACUAUCAUUUCCCAGACAGUUGUCCCCGCAUCUGUAGAAAUGGAUGUUGUUGGACAUUGUGUUGAGAUGAUUAGCACGGAACACCCCAUAUACAACACUGUCAGCCCCACUCUGCAGGCCUGUGAUGCCAUUUGGAUUUGGAAACCAAUUUUGCCAGCUUUGUUAAUAUCUUUAUGCAACUAUGGAGCUUUGGGUAAUUCCCCCCCCUUGAACCUCCUUCUCCUGAUUUCUCAUUUUCUCUAAUCAGAGAGCUCCACUAAGCAGUGCUGGAACCUGCUACAAUCCAUGGGUUCCCAUAUUUGCAGAAGCUAAGGAUAUACAUGCAUAACUAAUCAGGUUAGAUGCAUGGAUGCAGAUGGGGCACAUGAACAAUGUAUGCACUUACAUAUGUACAGAUAUAUAUGUGAACACACAUUUCCUUUCAAAAGAAAGUUUACUUCAGUUUGCUAAUAUGCACAGUAUUUGUUUUCUUAUAAAUUUUCC
rnacentral:lncRNA from 1 species